GGUAGUUGUCUGGGCUGCGGCCUUGGCGGCGUACUCGUAGGGCUUGAGCGCUCCGUGUGCCGUUCCCGCCGAUCCUCUGAAGGAAGCACUGUGAAGUAUUGUGACUAGGGAGAGAGCUGUCUCCUUUUGCUUCAGUUCCCUUCCUUCUCUGUGCCUCUUAAGUGCUUUUUCUUAUCCCUGAAGAUGGCAUCUAUUGGUGUAAUCGGAUCUGAUUAUUGCAACUGGUAUUACAGAUGAUGAUUUCCAUAAAACAGCUCAUGUCUCCAGCAUGCUGGGCUGUCAAGAUGGAAGGAAAAAAAAUGACUAAAACCUGAAGUCAGACUCUGGCAUGUUUGAAUACCAUAUGCCUGCACUAUUGAGAGGCUGGAGCAGAGUAUCUGGAGAAAGAUGAGAGAGUGUGGGUGGCAAGAGAAAAAACAACCACGACUAGCACUGCUGAUGAUAUACUGCACUUUGUGGGAAUCCAGCCUACAGGGACAGCUUUACAAGCCAUCACAGGCUUCAGGCAUCUAUUUUUAUCGAACUGAACAAUUGUUGCUCAGAAAAAGGAGACCCCUACUUCCCGGGCCACGUGUGGCUGACCUCGGUUGGAAUCCAGGACUGACUUCAGGAUGCCAAGUUAGAAAUAAUUCCUGGAGUGAAAACUCAGGGAGGAGUCGGUCCACACAGCUGCCAUAAAGGCUCCAGUCAGAGGAGCAGCACUCAAUAGAUUUUGUAUUAUUUUUCAUGUUCUGUGACCUCUCGACGUCCCAGCAUCUACAUGGAUAUGUUCAUUUACAGAUGUAUAGCACAUUCUUAUUAAAAAAUUAUGGGUACAUGUUCGAAAAGAUGCACUAACUGUACACUCCAGCUGCUAACACUGUAAAAGUGUUAGGACAUAAUAAACUGCUACAAUCUUCUCUUUGCAGAUGCAGACAGACAGUGGCAAAGCAGUUAGACGAAGGGCUCUAGUUUAUAGGCUUUACCAUAAAAGACUUUUCCAAACCUCAGCACAAGUCAGUAGUAUGGAGGAGGCUAAAAAGAGCAUCUGAGUCAAAUCAGAGCUGCGGAUGCUCCAUUCCUGGAAGCAUUCAGGGCUGGGCUGGCUGGGGCCCUGAGCAGCCUGAUCUGAUGGGGGGCAACCAGCUCAUGGUAGGGGGUUGGAGCUGGAUGAUCUUUAAGAUCCUUCCAACUUAAGCCAUUCUAUGAUUCUAUGAAGUACUUUGCCCCAACAGCUACCUUCAUGACAUGCCACUCUACCUGUUUCCAGUACAAAGCUCCUAACACAUUUCCCUUAUUUCAUGCAUCAGAACACCAUUUUGAAUGAGGGAAAAUGUGCCGUUACUCAAGGCUGCACUUGAGUGAUAGCUUUAUCUAUGUUGUCUCUGUCGCCACAAGGGCAGAACGUGGUCCUGUGAAGUCUCUGUACAAGGUAAUAACAGAGUUGCUUCAUCAGAGCUCUUCCCAUGAGGGACGAGGUCUAAGAUCUUUGUUUUUAGUGGAACAGAACAACAUCUCCGAAGGCGUACUAGGCGUCAUAAUACAGAGCUUCUGAGCUCUGAACGCAGAAGGUCAGGCAAUGUUUAAUCCUGGGGGUGACCUCGAGGACCUCAAGGGAAUUUCAUCAAGGAUAUAGUUAGUUUGUAUGUUGCAAUGCUCUGUAAGAAAUGAGCCUGGCAUUUCAGAGAUAAAAUUUGAAGGCAGCACCAUUCCAGUCACCCAACAUGUUUUGUAAAUGGGAUCUCUGUGACUCUUCAGUGCUAAAACUGUCUGAUGUUCAAAAUUGAAACUUUCAGCCCUUAUUCAGGCAAAGCUCACACAAAAACCAAGUAGGAAUACUGCCUAGAGCAGAGUGAAAUAAAAGCUGGAGGAUCUGGUGCUAUGUUAUUUGGCUCAUGCUGAAAAAUUUCAGUAAAUUUGUCACUAGCAGGCAAAGUGAGCAGUUUUGACAGCUAUUGUUACAUUAAAUUAAAAUGACAAACAAAGGCAUUGAUUUUUUAAAACCUUUAAAAGUGUGAUAAGCACAUUCCCAAUGAGAAAUAUGUUUCUUUCUAUUUGGCAGAACAUUCACAGUUUUUCUUGUGCAUACUCUAGGUACGCACAAAAAAAAUAAAAGACCUGGUUAUUUGAGGCAAAAUUCCUGAAAUAUUGUUCUCUAAAUCUCUAAGCUUCCCCUUAUUACUUUUUAUUCCCAGAAGUAUUUGAUUAUUUUAUUGCCCACAAAAACUGUAACAGUAAUAAAAAAAUAAAAUUGUCAGU
rnacentral:lncRNA from 7 species